UACGUAGGGUGCGAGCGUUGUCCGGAAUUAUUGGGCGUAAAGAGCUCGUAGGCGGUGUGUCACGUCGUUCGUGAAAACCUGCAGCUUAACUGUGGGCGUGCGGUCGAUACGGGCAUCACUGGAGUUCGGCAGGGGAGACUGGAAUUCCUGGUGUAGCGGUGAAAUGCGCAGAUAUCGGGAGGAACACCUAUGGCGAAGGCAGCUCGCUGGGACGUUACUGACGCUGAGACGCGAAAGCGUGGGGAGCAAACAGG
rnacentral:rRNA from 1 species